GAGUGCCGAGCCGCGCUCCCCCAGCCGCUGGAGAAGCCGUUCUCUCCGUUUGCGAGGGAGGGCCUCUGCUGCCUGCAUUUUUACCAGCCAGGCGCUGCCUUUUGUGGAUUGCUACAUUCCGCUUUCCGAGCUGCAGCUGGGCUUGGAUGGACCCGGUGGCGCUCCGGGGCCAUGGUCCCCUGCUUCUCCUGGGCCUGGCCGUUUUCAGCUGUGUGCCUGUUAAUGGAAAUGUAACAUCUGAACAUGAACUCAAGACACUGUCCUGCACCCUCUCAAAUGGAAACUGUACAGAUGGUUCCACAGGAGUGAAGUGGCAUGGACAUUUUUCAAAGUGUCCUGAGGAGUACAAGCACUACUGCAUCAAGGGAAGAUGUCGUUACGUUGCGGUGGAACAAACACCAGCAUGUGUCUGUGAGAUAGGCUACACUGGUGCAAGAUGUGAAAGGUUGGAUCUAUUUUACCUGAGAGGAGAUGAGGGCCAAAUUAUGGUGGUUUCUGUGAUAGCUGUUAUGGUGUUAGCUACCAUCCUGACUGUAUGUACAUGUACUUGCACACAUUACUGCCGGAAGAGAUGUCAGAGGAAGAAAGAAGAAAUGAGAACACUCAAUAAGGAAUUUCCUAUUAAAAUUGAAGAUACUGUACAAACAGACAUUGUAUUUCCAUAACCUGCAGUGCUUCUCCUUUGUUUGGGUAUUCAUUUUAGGGAAAAAAAUCAAAACAUUGGACUGCAUGCAUCAUUUUUGGAAGCAUUGUGAAAUGAUGGCUGCUGGGCAAGCAGCUUGCAGGACAUUUUGUUUGGUUUGGUUCUUUUUUCAACAAAUGGAGAUUCAAUAUAUUGAAAAAAAUUUGAAGAACAUGACAAGGGGGCGCCAAUUGGACCACAACAUCUGCCAACUGGAUAGCCAAAACCAUCAGGCUCUUGUACCAACUAGCCAACAUGGGCUUACCGAUCAACCCCAAAGGCCAUUGCAUGAGAGAUGUAUCCACUUCAUCAGCCCUGCAUUCUGGCAUAUCUCUGCAUGAACUAUGCAAAGUCACUACCUGGUUGACACUGUCCACCAUCACUACCAACUCGACCUUGAAGCCAAAUGGGAUUGCUCCUUUGGAUGUGCUAUGCUUUCUGCAGUUCUCCAAUAACAACACCUUCCUGCCUCCAAGAAUGGUAAGCUUGCUAGUCACUCCUAUGUAUGAUGCACAGAGACCACAACAAAGAAAGGCAGGUUGCUUACCUGUAACUGGCAUUCUUUGAGUGGUCUUCUGUGCAUUCACACAACCCUCCCACUGGCCCCAUGUCAACGUUAGUGGAAUCAGUCACGUUUACUUACCAUUACCUAAGCUCCUAACUCAAUUUAACCAGUGAACCAUCAGUAUCAAGCUGGAUGAA